rnacentral:lncRNA from 1 species
UUCACAACUACCCGUAACUCCAGCUCCAAGGGAUCUCUGACGCCCUCCGCUCACCUCCUCUGAUAUCUGCAUGCACAUAGAUUAAAGACUACUGGAACACAUGAAGAGGCAGGUCCUACAGAUCCAAAGAGGAGAGAUCAUCAUGGCACAGGGGAACAACAGAAGACCAGAGAGGAGUCCCUGUGAAGAUCCAGUACUGAUGGUGUAGUGGCCUUGAACCAGACAAGUGACUCAUUCAUUGCAAUGAACAUUCACAAGUACAGAUGUGUGGACAAAAGGGAAGGGAAGAGCAAACGCCGAUGCCGAAGCUUCCACUAACCGUCUUCCCCAGACCGUCUACCCUACUCACUAAGGGGUCAUGACCACGUAGUCAAACAACCAAGGUCAGGGGGGGUAGAAAACAGAUGGGGACCAAUGUCUUGC